GUUAAAACAUGGGACACCGUUUUUCCAGCUAAUAUACCAGGGCUGAAGGCUGAGAGAAGAAGCCCUGGAAGCUGUCAGAGAGGAGCCAUGAGGGGUGUUCCACGAACGGAGGUUUAACAAACCCCGGUGGAGGAGCUGUUAAUAAACAUAAAUUCAGGGCGCCCUGGCAUGGAGGGGGUAGGCCUACCUGGAGGUACCUACCACCUCAGAUUCGGACUGCUGAGUAUUCUCUUAAUCUCCCUGCAGUUCAGUUCAGUGAUGCUCACGGAGGAGGAGGAGGAGGCCCCCAGCAUCACAGAGUUCCACUCCUCUACCCACGUGUUGCCCGUGGGCCAAACGGCCCGCUACACCUGCCAGGCCGGCGGCACGCCGGAGCCCACAGUAGAGUGGCUCCACAAUGGCAGGCCCCUGGUGAGGGACGGCACAGACGACCAAUCAGAGGCCUGGGUGGAGAGGGGCUUCCUCUUCGUCAGAGGUGGGAGGUACGGCGUGAACACGGUCUGCUGCAUGGCGAGCAACAGCGCUGGCACGGCCAAUCACAGCGAUGAGCUGCUUGUCUUUGGCUACUCUGCGGUUGGCCUUGAUGGGGAAUUAUUUUAACACCAUUUUCCUGCGACAUUCCUGCGUCUCCCCCGGCGUCAUAGCCCGUUUCAGCACCAUGUCAGUGGACAGGUACAAUCCUACGAUCAUCUUGAGUGCAGCGAAUGCACGUUCACGUUAAGAGGAGUUUCGGGAA
rnacentral:lncRNA from 1 species